rnacentral:pre_miRNA from 1 species
UUAACUCAAAUUUGUAUGCAACUGGAACAGCGCCCCUAGCGGCAAACGUAGACAAACGUUCCAACUCCACACAAAUUUGAGUUA